ACUCCUACGGGAGGCAGCAGUGGGGAAUAUUGCACAAUGGGCGCAAGCCUGAUGCAGCAACGCCGUGUGAGUGAAGAAGGUUUUCGGAUCGUAAAACUCUGUCCUAAGGGAAGAAACAAAUGACGGUACCUUAGGAGGAAGCCCCGGCUAACUACGUGCCAGCAGCCGCGGUAAUACGUAGGGGGCAAGCGUUAUCCGGAAUCACUGGGCGUAAAGGGUGCGUAGGCGGCUUAGCAAGCCAGGGGUGAAAGGCAUUGGCUCAACCAAUGUAAGCCUUUGGAACUGUUAAGCUUGAGUGCAGGAGAGGUAAGUGGAAUUCCUAGUGUAGAGGUGAAAUUCGGUAGAUAUUAGGAGGAACACCAGUGGCGAAGGCGACUUACUGG
rnacentral:rRNA from 1 species